rnacentral:rRNA from 3 species
GACGAAGGAUGCAAGCGUUAUCCGGAUUCAUUGGGUUUAAAGGGUGCGUAGGCGGACUGAUAAGUCAGUGGUGAAAUCUCUCGGCUUAACCGAGAAACUGCCAUUGAUACUGUUAGUCUAGAGUAUAGAUGACGUUGGCGGAAUAUGACAUGUAGUGGUGAAAUACUUAGAUAUGUCAUAGAACACCGAUUGCGAAGGCAGCUAACGAAACUAUAACUGACGCUGAGGCACGAAAGUGCGGGGAUCAAACAGG